AAGUCGUAACAAGGUUUCCGUAGGUGAACCUGCGGAAGGAUCAUUAAUGAAAUCUAGUGGAGAGCGCUGUAGCUGGCCUUUCGGGGCAUGUGCACGCCUCUUAACAAAUCCAAUCACACCUGUGCACCUUCGCGUGGGCUUUCGGUCUGGUAAUCAUAAACCUAGCCGGCCCACGUUCUCUUCACACACCCUUUGUAUGUCUCAUGAAUGUCUAGUGAUGUUGUUAUAAACGCAUCUAAUACAA
rnacentral:misc_RNA from 1 species